rnacentral:tRNA from 1 species
GGGCCUGUGGCGCAAAGUGAUAGCGCGCCUGACUAUGGAUCAGGAGAUUCCCGGUUCGAAUAAUGGCAGGCUCG